rnacentral:sRNA from 1 species
UACAUGCAGGCUAACAUUCAGUCAAUGAUCGAUUGUCGUUGCAAGUGUUGUACAAGAAAUUUUUAAAAUGAGGUUCCAACUGUUUUUCCUAUUCUUAGUUUUGAGUGUUUUAGCUGUGAAAACUAGCAAUGGAUUAAAACAUGACGAUAUUGUCCAACAUAUGAAAGCCGCUGGCAAGCAGAUCUUUGAUGUGGGCGAGAUAAUCGGUCAAACAUCGACUCAACUGAAGCGAGCCUUCAAAUUGGACCAGCGAAGAAAAUAAUGUUUACCUCCAAAAAUGGGAUAGAAUACAGGAAGAGUAUAUAUAUGUAUAUAUUUAUACCACAGAUUUAAAUACAAGUCAGAGAAAUACAAAUAAAUCAAACAA